AUUGAACGCUGGCGGCAGGCCUAACACAUGCAAGUCGAGCGAGCGGCGGACGGGUGAGUAAUGUCUGGGAAACUGCCUGAUGGAGGGGGAUAACUACUGGAAACGGUAGCUAAUACCGCAUACCAUCGGAUGUGCCCAGAUGGGGUUAGAUAGUAGGGGGGGUAACGGCUCAACUAGGCGACGAUCCCUAGCUGGUCUGAGAGGAUGACCCGCCACACUGGAACUGAGACACGGUCCAGACUCCUACGGGAGGCAGCAGUGGGGAAGAUUGCACAAUGGGCGCAAGCCGGAUGCAGCCAUGCCGCGUGUAUGAAGAAGGCCUUCGUGUUGUAAAGUACUUUCAGCGGGGAGGCGUUACCCGCAGAAGAAGCACCGGCUAACUCCGUGCCAGCAGCCGCGGUAAUAC
rnacentral:rRNA from 1 species